rnacentral:rRNA from 1 species
GAUGAACGCUGGCGGCGUGCUUAACACAUGCAAGUCGAACGGGAAUUACUUUAUUGAAACUUCGGUCGAUUUAAUUUAAUUCUAGUGGCGGACGGGUGAGUAACGCGUGGGUAACCUGCCUUAUACAGGGGGAUAACAGUCAGAAAUGGCUGCUAAUACCGCAUAAGCGCACAGAGCUGCAUGGCUCAGUGUGAAAAACUCCGGUGGUAUAAGAUGGACCCGCGUUGGAUUAGCUGGUUGGUGGGGUAACGGCCCACCAAGGCGACGAUCCAUAGCCGGCCUGAGAGGGUGAACGGCCACAUUGGGACUGAGACACGGCCCAGACUCCUACGGGAGGCAGCAGUGGGGAAUAUUGCACAAUGGGGGAAACCCUGAUGCAGCGACGCCGCGUGAAGGAAGAAGUAUCUCGGUAUGUAAACUUCUAUCAGCAGGGAAGAUAGUGACGGUACCUGACUAAGAAGCCCCGGCUAACUACGUGCCAGCCGCCGCUGUAAAAC